rnacentral:tRNA from 1 species
GCCCUGGCGUCGGACCGCCAGGACAUAGAGUGGCGGCCUGUCGAGCCGCAGAACCCGGGUUCGAAUCCCGGCCGGGGCGCCA